rnacentral:tRNA from 1 species
GUGGGUAUAGCUCAGUGGUGGAGUGCUUGUCUACGAUGCGUGUGACUCUGGGUUCAAUUCUCAGUAACACACA